GACCGUGCAAAGGUAGCAAUAUCAUUAGUUUUUUAAUUGAAGGCUAGUAUGAAUGGUUGGACAAGAAAUAAUCUGUCUCAAAUUAAAAUAUUGAAUUUAACUUUUAAGUGAAAAGGCUUAAAUGACCUAAAGGGACGAUAAGACCCUAUAAAACUUUAUAUUUUAAGGCUAGGAAUUAGUUUUAUUUAGAGGGUUAUUGUUUUAAAAUAUUCUGUUGGGGCACAAGGAUAUAAAAUCGGAUAACUGUCUUUUAUUUUUACAAUAAUGUUUGGUUGAUUGAUCCUGGAAAGGAUUUAGAGAUUAAGUUACUUUAGGGAUAACAGCGUAAUUUUCUUUGAGAGUUCUUAUCGACAAGAAAGCUUGCGACCUCGAUGUUGAAUUAAAAGUUCUUUAUAGAGUAGAGUCUAUAAAAGAGGGUCUGUUCGACCUUUAAAAUUUUACAUGAUUUGAGUUCAGACCGG
rnacentral:rRNA from 1 species